GAUCAUGGCUCAGGACGAACGCUGGCGGCGUGCUUAACACAUGCAAGUCGAACGGAGUGCCUAUGACAGAGGUUUCGGCCAAUGGAUUAGGUUACUUAGUGGCGGACUGGUGAGUAACGCGUGAGGAACCUGCCUUUCAGAGGGGGACAACAGCUGGAAACGGCUGCUAAUACCGCAUGACGCAUGACCGGGGCAUCCCGGACAUGCCAAAGAUUUUAUCGCUGAAAGAUGG
rnacentral:rRNA from 1 species